GGUGGCUACCACUUAAUUGCUGCUUCUCUGGGUUUCUCAUGGAUUUCACCUGCUCCUCGUCUUAUCAGACAAACCUUGUUUUUAUUUUUCUGUUACUUUUCAGAGAAACCGCAGAAGAAAACAUUCAGAAAGUGACCCAACAUCCGGCGUUGGUAACUGCAUUUAUCAAUGAGUCAGUUACUAUCCAGUGUUCCCAGACCAGAUCGGAUAGCUACAUGUACUGGUACCGCCAACAGUUUCCCAGUAAACUAGACUUGUUGGUCUUGUCUGUUUAUGGGGGAGAUCCGGAGAGGCAACAAGGAGUCCCGGACAGGUACAUAGCCACCCGAGCAGAUGCUAACCACAUCUCUCUGAGGAUUGAAAGACUGACUGCCGCUGACACCGGAAUGUACUUCUGUGCAGCUAGCACACAGCGUCAGAAUCUGGUGUGGUCCUUCACUAAAAAUGUGACUCAAGCAGACAAGUCACUGGGGGUGCAAUUCGUAUUGUAUUUACAAUUAAGCUUCAUGUAG